GGUACGUCGCGUAUUUUACAAUGGUAUUUAUUGCUGAAGAGUGAAGAAAGUCGUUUAAUGAGAGUAUUAAAAUUGCAGUGGGCAAAUUCAGGAGAAUUUCGAACGAAACAACCAGAUCAGUUACGAAAGUCGUUCCAAGAUAUGAAAGCUCAAGUUUUAUGUUCUGAAAGGUCUGCUUGCAAAAAGUUGCAAUCGUUACGCAAGCGUUGAUCUGCUAAACUAUCUUUUCUUUAAAAUGAGCAUGUAAUAUAAAAUAUAAAUAAAUAAGAUCUAAAAUAUACAAACAUGAAU